rnacentral:rRNA from 1 species
UAAGGAAUAUUGCUCAAUGGGAGAAAUCCUGAAGCAGCAACGCCGCGUGGAGGAUGAAGGGUCUAUGACUUGUAAACUCCUGUAAAGGAGGAAAAAAUUCCCAUUAGAUGGGAGAUGAUGGUACUUCUGGAGUAAGCCCCGGCUAACUACGUGCCAGCAGCCGCGGUAAUACGGAGGAUCCGAGCGUUAUCCGGAUUUAUUGGGUUUAAAGGGUGCGUAGGUGGUUUGAUAAGUCAGCGGUGAAAGUUUGCAGCUUAACUGUAAAAAGGCCGUUGAAACUGUCGGACUUGAGUGUAAAUGAGGUAGGCGGAAUGCGUGGUGUAGCGGUGAAAUGCAUAGAUAUCACGCAGAACUCCGAUUGCGAAGGCAGCUUACUAAGCUACAACUGACACUGAAGCACGAAAGCGUGGGGAUCAAACA